rnacentral:lncRNA from 1 species
CGAGGUUGAAAGGCGAUGGUUGCGACUAUUGUGACCCAAGGAAGCAAUCGCUGAGUAGCUGGGUUGAGGCUAUGGUGAUGGCAACCAACAACUGCAGCAGCGGAGGCAAAACAAGAGGGAGGUGGCGUUGGAGUGGCCGGGGUUGAGAAGAGAAUCAGUGGUGUAUACGCUGUUGGGGUUGAGGUAGGGCAGCGUACUUGCUG